AUGGUGCUUGGUAGCUUUCAGUGUAUAAGUCUUGAAUUUCUUUGGUUAAAUGCAUUCGUAAGUAUUUUAUUCUUUUGAUGUUAUUGUAAAUGGAAUGGUUUUCUUGAUGUGAUUUUUGUGUCUUCAUUUCUUGACUUUUUCAGCUUCUAGGGCCACCCGCAUUCCUUGGUUUAUGGCCCCUUCCUCCAUCCUCAAAACCAGCACUAGCAGAUACUUGAUCUCACAUCCCCUGCUCCUUCUUCCAUCCUUGGAUUCCUCUCUCUCAGCCAGAAACCUUCGCUUCUGUUAGGACUCAAGAGGAUUAAACUCACCUGGACAGUCCAGGAAACUCUCCAUAUCUUAAAGUCUUCACCCUUCAACACCUUAAUUUGCCAUGUAAGGUGGCAUUGUUUCAGGAGGUAGAAGCCACAUGGAGGCUUGGAGCUGUGCCACAUUCUUAAUUGGACACCUUGUUGAAUGUGGAGGAGGACUUGUCCACUUUCUGCUGGGACGCUGACUCGAAUGAGGGAUUGGAGUGAAGUGUGU